AUUGCAGGCUGCAACUCGCCUGCAUGAAGGCGGAAUUGCUAGUAAUCGCGAAUCAGAAUGUCGCGGUGAAUACGUUCCCGGGCCUUGUACACACCGCCCGUCAAGCCAUGGGAGCCGGGGGUACCUGAAGUGCGUGACCGCAAGGAGCGCCCUAAGGUAAAACCGGUGACUGGGGCUAAGUCGUAACAAGGUAUC
rnacentral:rRNA from 1 species